AUUGAACGCUGGCGGCAUGCCUAACACAUGCAAGUCGAACGGAUGGCGGACGGGUGAGUAAUGUAUGGGCACCUGCCUGAUGGAGGGGGCUAACUACUGGAAACGUUAGCUAAUAGCGCAUACCAUCAGAUGUGCCCAGAUGGGAUUAGCGUGUGGGUGGGGUAACGGCUCACCAAGGCGACGAUCCCGAGCUGGUCUGAGAGGAUGACCAGCCACACUGGAACUGAGACACGGUCCAGACUCCUACGGGAGGCAGCAGUGGGGAAUAUUGCACAAUGGGCGCAAGCCUGAUGCAGCCAGGCCGCGUGUAUGAAGAAGGCCUUCGGGUUGUAAAGUACUUUCAGCGGGGAGGCGUUACCCGAAGAAGAAGCACCGGCUAACUCCGUGCCAGCAGCCGCGGUAAUUC
rnacentral:rRNA from 1 species